rnacentral:antisense_RNA from 1 species
GGCCACCCGAAGCCUCGUCACGAGUCCUACCGAGGAUUCGGAGCGGGCCUGCAAGAAGGGGCAGGCCAGGCUGGGGCUGCAAGACAGAGUCUUCCCUUGGAGAAGGGACCUGACUCUAUUAUUAAGAGAACGAAACAGGCACUUGCCCUACAGUGUUGUGUGCACAGUGGAUGUGCAGCCAGCAUUGGCUCAUGUGUGAAGGAGCAUACACUCCUGGAAAGUCUGAGCAUGUCCAUACGCAUCAUCUCACUGGGCCCCUGCAGCCCACUGAAAGAAGAGGCAGACACCUGCCCCAACUGCCCAGAGCCCUGCUGGCUGAGCGGAUCCCUAAUGUCCUUGGUUAAGCUCUCACCCUGCAUGACUGUUUUCCUCAGAGGAAGGCACUAGUGGGGACACCUUUUCCUGGGAUCUCUAUGCAGGGAAUGGGCUGGAUGUGUACAGACCUUGCCACAUGCCUUUAAGGGCUGGUGUCAUGGCCAGGCCAUGACUCUAAAGAAUGAGAGGGGCUGGGUGCGGUGGCUCAC